rnacentral:rRNA from 1 species
UGCNAGUCGAGCGCAUCCUUCGGGAUGAGCGGCAGACGGGUGAGUAACGCGUGGGGAUGUGCCUUGAGGUGGGGAAUAACUGUGGGAAACUACAGCUAAUACCGCAUAAGCCCUUCGGGGGAAAGAUUUAUCGCCUUUAGAGCAACCCGCGUCAGAUUAGCUAGUUGGUAGGGUAAUGGCCUACCAAGGCGACGAUCUGUAGCUGGUCUGAGAGGAUGACCAGCCACACUGGGACUGAGACACGGCCCAGACUCCUACGGGAGGCAGCAGUGGGGAAUAUUGGACAAUGGGCGCAAGCCUGAUCCAGCCAUGCCGCGUGAGUGAUGACGGCCUUAGGGUUGUAAAGCUCUUUUAACAGGGACGAUAAUGACGGUACCUGUAGAAUAAGCCCCGGCAAACUUCGUGCCAGCACCCCGCGGUAAA